CUGUUUACUAAAAUGACAGGAGGGACAUAUAACCCAAACUUUUUACCCCAGUCAAAAGUAAAUGCAUCUACACCAGAAGACUUGUUAACAACAAAAUUUUGAAUAGAAAAUUGGCAAUUUCGCAUUAUGUUCUGACGCAAAAAAAAGUCUAUAUCUAAUGUUCCCCAUCUUUCCUGUAUCAUUUUUAAGAUUUCAAAAGAUAUCCCCCAGUCAUCAGUCUCUACCACUUUUGAUAAAUAAUCUGCCCUUUCAUUCAAACUCCUUGGUAACCUUUCUACUUCUAAAUGAAUAGAAUGUACCGAGGUAAAAUUAAAAGUCUUUAAGGCCAAGUCUUGCAAGUCUGGUUUCAUAGACCCUUUUUGAACUAUAGUACAUACGCCUGUAUUGUCUGUUAACCACUUCACUCUUUGAUUCCCUGAUACAUGAACUAAAGACCGUAAUAUCUCAUAAACAGCAAAUAGUUCUCUCCACGUGAAGGACUUAAGAGACCCUUCUUGAGACAAAAUUCCGUGAGACACCCCGUUUACAGUUCCUACUUCAUAGCCCGCAAAUGCUAUAUUAGAGGCAUCGUUAUAAACGAUCCUAGAACAAUAAUCUGAGGUAUACAAGUGCCUAACAUUAAGAGAAAUCAAAAUAUUUUCCCAGAAUGCUAACUGCUGUCGACUCUCUACCGACAAUUUUAUGUAAGGAUUCCAUGUAUGGGUUUUCAAAAUAUCCAUGCUCAUAUUACGAGUCAUAAUUUGUGAUACAGGACCUACAACAAUCUGUCCCACAAAACUGGCGACCUUUCUAACCGGGACCCAUUUUGACAUUUUCAGCUCAUGGAGCAUUGACAUUGCUUUAUCAAUCCUGCGCUGAUGCAUACUAAUAGUAAAUUCAACAGAAUUUAAGAUUAAAAAAUUUGUACCGGGCACCACUGUGACUUGGGUAUUAAACCCGAAUCGAGCAAAUCUUGCUUCACAUCCAUGGACAAUUUUUUAGUUAACCCCACAUUAUCUACAAAACCAAAACCGUCAUCAAGAAACAUAAUUACCCUUUUUCCUUCUCCCCUCCAUUUUGCUAUUAAAGGGCGGGUCAAUUUUGUAUACAAAUAAGGUGCUACUCCUAAUCCAAAUGGGAGUACUAAAAAUUUAUAAUAGCGAACUAUACCUUUCAUGUCAACAAAAGAAAACCCUAGAAAUUCUGCGUGCGGUAAAAAUAUAUCCAUAAAAUGAUAUGCAGAGUGAAUAUCAAAUUUUAUCAUCCAACUGUCCUUUUUGAUAUACAUGAGUGCUAUUCUCAAGUCUUCAUAUUUCACCGACAGUUUCCAUACAUGUUUAUUGACUAAUCGUAAAUCCAAAAUAAGACGUUUUUUGCCAUUGGUGUAUAACUAGGUAUAUCUGCACACUGCUGAAUUAAACCUCUGUCUUUUUAUAGCCUCUUUCUCAAAACAACUUUCUUUUAAACAGACGAAUUAUUACUAGAAAAAGAUCUACUUGGUAACGAGUAAAAUGGGAUUUUGUAUCCAUAAAAAUGGUAUCUAAAAUAAACUUGCUCUCAUAGCCUUCCAAAAAUCGAUAUGAUCUUUUAAUCUGUUUUUAACAAUAAUAUCUUUCUGUCCCUGUUCGUAUUCAAAGAAAUCGUCUGUAAACUUAUUUUUAGAAUUCUCAACAGAUCUAAAAUAGAAUACUCAUCUUGAAAGUCAAUAUCUGGGUUUUUCCUAACUGGGCCACUCUCAUUUUCUUGCGGGUAAUUCAGGUUGCUGCACCGUCCUUGUGUAGGGGCACGUUCUUCUAAUGUGGUUGAGCUGUCCGCAGGCGAAGCAUGGACCCGGGGUAAAGCGGUUUCGUCUGAAGGAUGGCGCGGCAGAGGAGCCUCGAAAGGAGCCAUACCUGGGUUCAUUUGUUUGUCCAUGGUUUUGAGUAGGAAACGUCCCUGUGAAAACGGAUGGACCUCCCCAUGCACGAUUACCAGCACCAGAAAUACCAUAUGCAGCGGAAGGCCUAUUAAACGAUUUAGACCUUUGUUUGACCUGAUUCGUGACUCGUCUUCGGAGUUGCUUACAAUAGGGUUGCAUACAUACUGUUUAACUGUUUCCCAUCCUCCUUCUGAUGAAUCGCAACCCGGAUGUGUUUAUUUCGAACCCGGAGUUUAUCACACGACUCUUUGAACAAAUCCACGGCAUAUUCCAUUUUCCCAUUAUCUAUCGCCCAAAGUCCUGGUUUCAAAUUUCCUCCAACUCAAUCAAAUUGAAUACGGUUUCCUUCGUAUUUCCAACGUAUGUCUUUCUCAGUCCUUAACUUUUUCACUUCAGAAGAUACUGACAAAGAAUUACCUCGAACCUCUUCUCUUAGCGCAUUCGUGUUUUUGUCCUCUUAUUUCACCAAUAAGUUCUUUAAUAUCGUCCUUCAAAUCCGAAGAUAACGAACCACCAUUACCGGUUUCUGCUGUACAGGUUUAUCAGAUUUAUCCAAAGAAAAUAACAACCUGACGUCGGUCGUUCCCAAAGCUGAAUGACUAUUUAGCGCCAACUCUACUGAAAACUUCGUGCAUCAUCUACAGCGACACCUGUCGUAGGCAUUUAACUAGAGCAUUUUAUUUUCAAGGGAAAUAAUUGUGGUCUGACUGUAUUAUUUUGAAAAUCACAGUUGAGAUUUUUUUAUGUGUGCACCGGUACAGUUUUGCGGGGAAGCGAAAGUUGACAUGGAAUUUUGUCUUCUUCUAAAAACAAGGUAAGUUGACAGUUUUUGUUGAAAUAUAUAUCUGAUAGCUGACACAUAGGAGAAUGUUUUGGUUUAUAUCCAGCUUACAGAUUUUUUUGAAAAUGAAGAGAAACAGGGGGAAUUCUGUAAAUUUCUUCUUAUAUGCAAAUGAGCUGAAAAUGUAUUGAAAUGACUAGAUCAGAAGUUUAUGCCUUUCCGGUAAGUUUUUCCCUAUCUUUGACGAUAGUUAUUAAAAAGUAUAGAUAUCAACCUCUUUGCUGAUAUUAGUACCUAAAAUUUUUAGCCUGUGAAUAGCUGUGGAAAUUUGGGACUUCCUUUUUUUGAAGAUAUAAAUAGAUCUAAGCUAUAUUUAGACUAAAGUUUUUUUCAGUAUAACAGCAUGUAGAGAACCUUACAUACAGUCAAAUAUUCUUGAUAUUGCAAGGAAAUAUAAUGCAUUUUUCAAGUGCUUGCUGUUUCUUAUGUUGUACAUACUUGAUAUAGGUCAUUGUCAAUGUCAACUAUCAUUAUACUGACAUUUGAAGUUGUUGUUUUUUUCUAAAUUACCUCCCUUAUAUAUGCAUUUUUCUUCAUUCAUUUUAUUGAUAAUUACUUCCCUUUAUGUUUAGCAAAAAUUCUCAGAUUGCAUUUAAUUAACUCCCUUUAUUUAACAUGAAAAAUUCUCUUGUGUAAUGAUUAUUUGUAUAUUUUACUUACAGUGUCUGAUACAUGUAGUUGCAGUCUGUCUUUGGAAGCUGUAGAAAAAACAAGAAAGAGGCUGACAUAGUGGUAUAGUUUGUUAUAUAUGAAGUUUAUUGAUGGCAUUCAUGUCAUGAUGAUAUCAUUAAAGUACAACAUACAUUGAUUUUCUGACAGUCAUGUGUUAUUACAUUUGAACUGAGACUGUUUUAUAAUCAGUUUUGGUAGGGAAAAGUUUGAGUAUGUACAUGUACAGUUGUUUGACCUGUCUUACCCUGUGGCAGUCCAAGAAGAUGUUACCAUUAUGAAAAAUGCAGGAGAACUGGAAGACAAUUGUUAGUGCAGAAGGGACAUAAAUGUUAUGACAAAAGUAACAGAUAUAAAUAAGAAGUGCUACAAGUGUGUUGUCAUGUGAAAUGAAAUUUACCCCAACUGUGCUGCAAGAUGUAUAUUCAAGUGCAAGACAGCCAUGCACCAGCUGUAAACUGAGAUGGACCCAUAUAAUAAAUAUGUUGACUUUUCUAUGUAUUAUCAUCUGUACAGAAUGUGUUCAUGACAAGACUGUAUACAUAUAUUGUUAAAUCAUUUUUUAUUUCCAUUAUUGCAUGCAUGUAAGAAGCAAGCAUUUAACUAUUGCAUUCAUAGACGUGUUAAAAUGUGAUCAAUCUAAUUUAAAGAAACACAUUUAAUUGGACUUUUUAAGUUUCAUAGUAUUUGUCGGUGGAGACUGACCCAGUCAUUCAACUUAUACUGUCUGUGUGUCAUUUCUUGUAUGUUAUAGUUUUCUUAAUAAUACAUUAAAUGUCAAAGUUAUGGUAAGAUGAACUUUUUAUCACUUGUAGAUUAAUGUUAAAGCAGUUCAACAUUUUACCAUAAGUUAACUAAUAUUCUAUUUAACCAGAGUUGUCACAUAUUUUCAUAUAAAUAAUUGUAUAAUACAGUCUAAUCUAAUCUACAUAUGAUGUUCCACAAUUUUUUAGUUAUAUUUUAUGUUGAUAUUUUAUGUUGUUUUCAUGUCUCAACAUAUAAUUACUAACAUCAAAGAAACUUAAGUAUUUUACAAUUUGGUUGGUUUAAUUGGUUGUUUUGUUUAUAUAUUUUAUUUUUUUCCAUCUAGGAGAAUAAAGAAAUAUUCAUUUCAAAAUAUCUCAUCAUUCUAGAUAAGUACACUACAUAAUCAAGAUAAAAGAAAUAAGAACAAAAUAUGUUGGUGGAAUUUUAUUUUCAAAAAUUUGAUAUACUGUCUUUGUAGUAUUUACUUCUUUAGAUAUGUUGGACUGAAAUGGGAAUAACAACAUACUUUAAGUUUUUGUAGUCAUAAGUUAAUAUGGGAAUUAUUAACUUAACUUAAAAAGAUUUUAUCUCACUGUUAUGCAAUCUGAGCUUUAAUAUUUUUCAACAUUGUCAUUGGCAACAAGGCUCAAAAUUAUUUGUUGUGUAUACCUUGCAUUCAUGUGUGAUAAAUACUUUUAUGGCAUUCUUUAAUGUAAUUUAUGCUUUUCAUCUUACCAUGGAUUAAAAAAAUAUAAAUUUAUUUGUCUGAAAAUUAAGGUAAAAAUACUGACUGAUUAAAUUGCAAUAUAAGAAAGCUUAUUUGAGAUAAAGGGAGGUAAUUCCAUAAAAAAAUAUGUAGAAUGUAGAUGAUAAAUGUAAUGAAGGGAGGUAAUAAAAUAUUGUGAAGU